CCUACGGGUGGCAGCAGUGAGGAAUAUUGGUCAAUGGGCGCGAGCCUGAACCAGCCAAGUCGCGUGAGGGAAGACGGUCCUAUGGAUUGUAAACCUCUUUUGUCGGGGAGCAAAAGACGCCACGCGUGGCGUUCCGAGAGUACCCGAAGAAAAAGCAUCGGCUAACUCCGUGCCAGCAGCCGCGGUAAUACGGAGGAUGCGGGCGUUAUCCGGAUUUAUUGGGUUUAAAGGGUGCGCAGGCGGAAGAUCAAGUCAGCGGUAAAAUUGAGAGGCUCAACCUCUUCGAGCCGUUGAAACUGGUUUGCUUGAGUGUGUGUGAAGUAUGCGGAAUGAGUGGUGUAGCGGUGAAAUGCAUAGAUAUCACGCAGAACUCCGAUUGCGAAGGCAGCAUACCGGCGCUCAACUGACGCUGAUGCACGAAAGUGUGGGGAUCGAACAGGAUUAGAUACCCCUGUAGUC
rnacentral:rRNA from 1 species